GAUGACUGAAGCUGGCAUAAUCCUCUUUACCUGCUCCUCCCUCAGGCAAUAAGCAGGUUGCUUGGACCCAGAAGAAUAGCUACUUUCUGUGGCCACACUGUGAGGGAGGGCUUCCAGGUGGCUGGGGAAAUUAGUUGCUGUGACAACAAGCUGGCGCGGGUGUAGUUUGCUGCACUUUGCAGCUCUUGUCUUCUGCUCCAGGGCACUCAGCUGCCUGGGGGAACCUGGAAAUCCAGUAAGUUCACACCUCAGGAGCAACAUCGGACAGAUGGUGGUUUGGAGCAGAAAAGGAGCAGGAGCUGAAAAAGCGAGGCCAGUCUUACAACUCACUGGACUUCUGGCAAGAAUCCCUCCCCAGAACCAACCCUAAUUGCUGACCUGAGUUAUACACAUUCAAGAGAGAAGUAGAAGGUUUUCAUUACAAGUCAUCUAACUCUGCAGGAGUUUGGCUUUGAAAACCCCCUGAAAAGGACUCAUGUGAAUAAAGCGGGGCCAUUCUCAUUGAAGCA
rnacentral:lncRNA from 1 species